AUUGAACGCUGGCGGCAUGCCUUACACAUGCAAGUCGAACGGUAACAGGUCUUCGGGUGCUGACGAGUGGCGAACGGGUGAGUAAUACAUCGGAACGUGCCCGAUCGUGGGGGAUAACGAGGCGAAAGCUUUGCUAAUACCGCAUACGAUCUACGUAUGAAAGCGGGGGAUCUUCGGACCUCGCGCGGCCGGAGCGGCCGAUGGCAGAUUAGGUAGUUGGUGGGAUAAAAGCUUACCAAGCCGACGAUCUGUAGCUGGUCUGAGAGGAUGAUCAGCCACACUGGGACUGAGACACGGCCCAGACUCCUACGGGAGGCAGCAGUGGGGAAUUUUGGACAAUGGGCGAAAGCCUGAUCCAGCCAUGCCGCGUGCAGGAUGAAGGCCUUCGGGUUGUAAACUGCUUUUGUACGGAACGAAAAGCCUCUUUCUAAUAAAGAGGGGUCAUGACGGUACCGUAAGAAUAAGCACCGGCUAACUACGUG
rnacentral:rRNA from 1 species